AGCGAACGCUGGCGGCAGGCUUAACACAUGCAAGUCGAACGCAUCCUUCGGGGUGAGUGGCGGACGGGUGAGUAACACGUGGGAACGUACCCUUUGGUUCGGGACCACUCUGGGAAACUGGAGCUAAUACCGGAUACGCCCUUUUGGGGAAAGGUUUACUGCCGAAGGAUCGGCCCGCGUCGGAUUAGCUAGUUGGUAGGGUAACGGCCUACCAAGGCGACGAGCAGUAGCUGGUCUGAGAGGACGAUCAGCCACACUGGGACUGAGACACGGCCCAGACUCCUACGGGAGGCAGCAGUGGGGAAUAUUGGACAAUGGGCGCAGGCCUGAUCCAGCAAUUCCGCGUGGGUGAAGAAGGUCUUCGGAUUGUAGAGCCCUUUCGACAGGGACGAUGAUGACGGUACCUGUAGAAGAAGCCCCGGCUAACUUCGUGCCAGCAGCCGCCGUAACAC
rnacentral:rRNA from 1 species